rnacentral:rRNA from 1 species
GACGAACGCUGGCGGCGUGCUUAACACAUGCCAGUCGAACGAGAGCGUAGAGAAAGCUUGCUUUUUCUACAAUCUAGUGGCAAACGGGUGAGUAACGCGUAAACAACCUGCCCUACGGAUGGGGACAACAGCUGGAAACGGCUGCUCAUACCGAAUACGUUCCGAAAGUCGCAUGACUAUCGGAAGAAAGGAUGGCCUCUAUUUAUAAGCUAUCGCCGGAGGAGGGGUUUGCGUCUGAUUAGCUAGUUUGAGGGGUAACGGCCAACCAAGGCGACGAUCAGUAGCCGGUCUGAGAGGAUGAACGGCCACAUUGGAACUGAGACACGGUCCAGACUCCUACGGGAGGCAGCAGUGGGGAAUCUUCCGCAAUGGGCGAAAGCCUGACGGAGCAACGCCGCGUGAGUGAAGACGGCCUUCGGGUUGUAAAGCUCUGUUAUACGGGACGAAUAAUCUUGUGGUUAAUACCCAUGAGAAGUGACGGUACCGUAAGAGAAAGCCACGGCUAACUACGUG